rnacentral:rRNA from 1 species
GUCCCUGCCGUAAACGAUGCAUACUUGAUGUAGUCGGACUCAACCCCGACUGUGUCGGAGCAAACGUGUUAAGUAUGCCGCCUGGGGAGUACGCUCGCAAGAGUGAAACUCAAAAGAAUUGACGGGGGCCCGCACAAGCAGUGGAGCAUGUGGUUUAAUUCGAUGCAACGCGAAGAACCUUACCUGGGCUUGAAAUGCAGAGGACAGCUGUGGAAACACAGUCUCCUUAGGGUCUCUGCAUAGGUGCUGCAUGGCUGUCGU